rnacentral:lncRNA from 1 species
AGAUGGAGACAGUAAGGAACCCAGUCAACAAAUGGAGCUUUUCCAUAAGGUAUAAUAUAUUUUAUCUCCUGCCUUUUAAUUUAGCAUCAUCAUCAUCAUCAUCAUUGUCACCGUCCUUUAACAUCCAUUUUCCAUGCUGCCAUGGAUUGGAUGGUUUGAUGGGAACUGGCAAGCUGGAGAGCUGCACCAGGCUCCAAUUGUCUGUUCGGCAUGGUUUCUAUGGCUGGAUGCCCCUCCUAAUGUCAACCAUUUAACAGUGUAUUGGGUGCUUUUUGUGUGGCAUCUACACAUAAAUUUUGCUAAUUGUAUCAAAAACAGAUAUUAGAAGAAAUAAAUUAUGUAGUUAAUGGUCAAGUUGUUAAAUGUUUAAUUGUAAAUCUAAUAGAUUUUGUGUCCAUUUGUUGGGUUUUUUUUAAUCCUGUCUCAGUAAUCUGUCAAGGCAAUUCAUGUCAGUGAAGCCAAUGUUGAUAUAAUAACAAUGAUUAUAUUGUAAUUAUCAAACAUAAACCUGAGUAUUAUGGAGACAUCUGAUGAUGAAGCUUUCUCUAAAAGUAAUAGCAUGAUAAUGACAGUGUAGUUGAAAAAUAAAACAAGGAUACAUAUUCCAUGUAUCCCAUACAAUGAUGAGAACAAUAAUCUAUACUGGCAAAAAGCUUCGUGUUUUUAGAGAAGGGAUAUUGUUCAUCGAAUUAACCUGAGCACAUGAUUGGUGCUUUCUCCCAGAAUUUGUGUUCUUGUUGUUUGUGGUGGAGGUGGUGGUGGUACUAGUAGUAGUAGUUUUUACUUUGGACACAAGACCAGCAAUUUUUGCAAGGAGGGUAUUAGUUGAUAACAUUGACUCUAGCCAGUACUUGACUGCUUACUCCAUUUAAAUGCUUUUAUUUAUUUGUAUUCAUGUUUCAUUUUGUAUAUUUCUGUAUCAGGUAACCAUUUUUGGAAAAUUAUGAUAAGAUCAAGCUGUAUGUAUAUGAUCUAGGAAUAUAAAACUGAUUUUAAUUUUUGAAUCUCUUACAGUUUCAUCAGAUCACUGCUCUCAUUCCAUCUGCAACUUGUCUAUUCACCUUCUUUUGGCAUAUUUCUAAUCGGCCGCCUGAGUAAUUACUGUACCAGCUAAGGGUCUGGUGUGUUUUAUGUACCGUAAGUUGACUGAGCCAGUCACAUAUGGCAACCAUUGUUGAUACGAUGCCAAUCACUUGGGAAUAUCAAAGUAAAAAACAUCAGUGUCUAUUUUACCAAACCUGUGCUCAUUCACAUUGUUGAUUAAGCAUUUUUUGUUUUAAUAAAAAAAUCAUUUAAAUAGAGA